rnacentral:rRNA from 1 species
GACGAACGCUGGCGGCGUGCUUAACACAUGCAAGUCGAACGGAAAGGCCCCUUUGGGGGUACUCGAGUGGCGAACGGGUGAGUAACACGUGCGUAACCUGCCCUUGACUUCGGGAUAACUUCAGGAAACUGGGGCUAAUACCGGCUAGGAAUCCUUGCUGCAUGGUGGGGGUUGGAAAGCUUCGGCGGUUUUGGAUGGACUCGCGGCUUAUCAGCUUGUUGGUGGGGUAGUGGCUUACCAAGGCUUUGACGGGUAGCCGGCCUGAGAGGGCGACCGGCCACAUUGGGACUUAGAUACGGCCCAGACUCCUACGGGAGGCAGCAGGGGGGAAUAUUUCACAAUGGGCGGAAGCCUGAUGCAGCAACGCCGCGGGCGGGAUGACGGCCUUCGGGUUGUAAACCGCUUUCAGCAGGGGCGAAGCUUGUGGUGACGGUACCUGCAGAAGAAGCACCGGCUAACUACGUG